UGGGGAAUCUUGCACAAUGGACGAAAGUCUGAUGCAGCGACGCCGCGUGGAGGAUGACGGUCUUCGGAUUGUAAACUCCUGUUAAGUGGGAAGAAAGACCUGUGUUUAAUACACACAGGGGAUGACAGUACCAUUAGAGAAAGCACCGGCAAACUUCGUGCCAGCAGCCGCGGUAAUACGAAGGGUGCAAGCGUUAUUCGGAGUUACUGGGCGUAAAGAGCGCGUAGGCGGUUAGUUAAGUUAGUUGUUAAAGCCCCCGGCUUAACUGGGGACCAGCAUCUAAUACUGGCUGACUUGAGUACAAGAGAGAGAAGUGGAAUUCUCGGAGUAGCGGUAAAAUGCGUAGAUCUCGAGAGGAACACCGAUGGCGAAGGCAGCUUCUUGGCUUGUAACUGACGCUAAAGUGCGAAAGCGUGGGGAGCAAACAGG
rnacentral:rRNA from 1 species